rnacentral:lncRNA from 1 species
CUUAUUUUCUGCUGCUGUCCCGUCAGUUGCAUUUUAUUUAUGGCGUGAGACGAUAUUGUCAUUUUUAUUUUUGUUCGUGUUUGUCGGCGUGUGUAUCAAGGAGCACUAGAAAGACGGGUGCGGGAGCAUUAUCGUGACAUCAGCAUCUCAGGCCACAGUGUGCUUGUGUGUAUCGUGUUAGCAGUUGAGUGUGUUUGUGAGUGUCAUGUGAGCCAAGUACUGUAGUUGAGAGUUGUAAAACAAGUACAUUGUAUUGUGCAAGCCACUUAUAUAGUGACUGUCGAAGUGUGCACAUGGUUCAACAGGUUUUCGUGAUUUUAUACAGAUGUGUUUAUAAGUAAAUACUCAAGAAGAUUUUGUGAAACAUUGAAAUGCCCCGCAAGUGCAGUGUAUUUGAAUACAGAUUGAAUUACAAAUUGGAAACUGGGAAACCAACAAUAUUUUCACUGCCAUCCGAUGAAAAUCGCCGUAAUUUGUGGCUUCGUCACAUCCCAGCUGGUUCUUCAAAACUAAAACAACCAGGUGUAUUUCGACGAAUCGUACAUAAUUCGAGUAGACAGACUUAUGGACAAAGGUGAACUAAAAGUGUUAUCACGAAUAAUCCCUAAACUAACAGAAGAUGUCGUGCCAACUUAAUUUCCAAAGACGCCAUCCUAUUGUUCUGAAACAGUCAGAAAAACAAAACACUUUUCUGAUGUAGAAGACAACGUGCGAAAAGCCAUUCAAGAUAGUAUAGAUUCCAAUAAGAACUCUUGCGCAGGAAGCACUAAAAAGUGUAAAUGACAUAAGUUCACUUCUAGACACCAGAAAAAUUAGUAGUAGUAAGUGGUCAGUCUGUCCCAUCAAAUGUUGCUCUUUCUCCAAAGACAUUUCAAUCCUUGAUUUUACCCAUACAGUCCUCUCUUGAAAGUAGUUUCAUAUUUAUUUGACAAACAUGGAUUUGAUUAAUUUCUGCCAGGGAAAUUUCAAUCUGAUAAUUUUGAAAGUUGAUUUGGGUCAUACCAUCAACAGAGUGAUGCCAAUUAUUAUGUAAGUUACAUUCAGGUAUUAGAAAAUGAAAGAAAGCUUUGAUUUAAUAAUAAUAGCUUUGAUUUAAUAAUAAUGUACUGUUUGCUACUCAUAAUGACACUGUACAGCUGAAAACUUUAAUUCCUAUUCAGCAGAGCAAAGAUCGGAGUGUUUAUAUACAUAUGUUUGCAGAUAUAUUAAAUGAGAGUUUCAAAAUAGAGGAAAUUGGUCAUGAUGCCAUACCUAUAGUGACCCACGUGGGAGGUUAUACGCUUAGAAAAGUCUUAGAGAAAUCAAAAUGUGAAUUAAACAGAGGUAGACUAAUUUUGCCCUCUGAGGAAGUGGUAUUUACUGUGGCUCUGGCAUGGCACACAGUUUCUUCACUUUUGAAAAAGUAGCAUUUCAUGACGUGGGGAAACAGCUUUCAGUUGCACGUGAUAUUAGUUACAGAAGAGUGGUCACUAAGGUCAUUGAUGCUAGAUGCAAAUGUGUGUUGCAUAACACCCUGUUAAACAAAUUAGAGAGUAUUUCCCUGUGUACAAACAAGAUUCUUCUUAAUAAUUUUGACAGGCUUUAUAAUGAUAAAAGAAUAGAUUUCAAUUAUAGUUCCAGAAAAAUUGGAAAAUUUAAGUUGUUCUACUCGCAUAAUACAGAACUGUGUAACACAUAAAUGUGGUCACUGCAUUGUAAAUAAAUAUAAUUGUGUAUUA